rnacentral:rRNA from 1 species
AGGGCACCACCAGGAGUGGAGCCUGCGGCUUAAUUUGACUCAACACGGGAAACCUCACCAGGCCCAGACACCGGAAGGAUUGACAGAUUGAUAGCUCUUUCUUGAUUCGGUGGGUGGUGGUGCAUGGCCGUUCUUAGUUGGUGGGGCGAUUUGUCUGGUUAAUUCCGAUAACGAACGAGACUCUAGCCUGCUAAAUAGGCGUACCUUAUGGUAUCUCGAAGGCCCCCGGCCUCGGUCGGCGGGUUUUUACUACCAACGUACAAACAAAUCUUCUUAGAGGGACAGGCGGCUUCUAGCCGCACGAGAUUGAACAAUAACAGGUCUGUGAUGCCCUUAGAUGUUCUGGGCCGCACGCGCGCUACACUGAAGGAAUCAGCGUGUGUUCCCUGGCCGAAAGGCCCGGGUAACCCGCUGAACCUCCUUCCCGCUAAGGAUUGGGGCUUGCAAUUGUUCCCCAUGAACGAGGAAUUCCCAGUAAGCGCGAGUCAUAAGCUCGCGUUGAUUACGUCCCUGCCCUUU